GAGGUUGUGGCUCAGCGGUAGAGCGCUCGCCUAGCAUGUGUGAGGCCCUGAGUUCGAUCCUCAGCACCACA
rnacentral:tRNA from 1 species